rnacentral:rRNA from 1 species
UAAACGAUGUCGACUUGGAGGUUGUUCCCUUGAGGAGUGGCUUCCGGAGCUAACGCGUUAAGUCGACCGCCUGGGGAGUACGGCCGCAAGGUUAAAACUCAAAUGAAUUGACGGGGGCCCGCACAAGCGGUGGAGCAUGUGGUUUAAUUCGAUGCAACGCGAAGAACCUUACCUGGUCUUGACAUCCACGGAAGUUUUCAGAGAUGAGAAUGUGCCUUCGGGAACCGUGAGACAGGUGCUGCAUGGCUGUCGUCAGCUCGUGUUGUGAAAUGUUGGGUUAAGUCCCGCAACGAGCGCAACCCUUAUCCUUUGUUGCCAGCGGUCCGGCCGGGAACUCAAAGGAGACUGCCAGUGAUAAACUGGAGGAAGGUGGGGAUGACGUCAAGUCAUCAUGGCCCUUACGACCAGGGCUACACACGUGCUACAAUGGCGCAUACAAAGAGAAGCGACCUCGCGAGAGCAAGCGGACCUCAUAAAGUGCGUCGUAGUCCGGAUUGGAGUCUGCAACUCGACUCCAUGAAGUCGGAAUCGCUAGUAAUCGUGGAUCAGAAUGCCACGGUGAAUACGUUCCCGGGCCUUGUACACACCGCCCGUCACACCAUGGGAGUGGGUUGCAAAAGAAGUAGGUAGCUUAACCUUCGGGAGGGCGCUUACCACUUUGUGAUUCAUGACUGGGGUGAAGUCGUAACAAGGUAACCGUAGGGGAACCUGCGGUUG